rnacentral:rRNA from 1 species
GUUUGUUUGGAGUUAUAAAGAAUUUGACCUGCCCCCUGAUUAAUAAUUAAAGGGCCGCAGUAUUAUAACUGUGCAAAGGUAGCAUAAUCAUUAGGUUUUUAAUUGGAAUCUUGCAUGAAUGGUUGGACAAGAGAAAGACUCUCUUUAUAUUAAAUUUUGAAUUUAACUUUUAAGUGAAAAGGCUUAAAUAUUCUAAAGGGACGAUAAGACCCUAUAAAACUUUACAUUGUGAUUAAAUUUGGUUGAAUUUGUAAAAUAAGAAUUUUAUUUGGUUAUUUGUUAUGUUGGGGAGACAUAAGUAAAAUAGUAUUUUAACUGCUUAAUAAUUAUACAAUUAUUAGUGAAUAAUAGAAGAUCCUUUUU